AAAACAAAAACAUCAUCAUCAUCAUCAAUCGACAACUUGCUCAAGAUGCUUCCGAAAAUUAUAGAAAUAUUGAUAAAAUCUAACGGACAUGAAUCUUUCAGUAAAAUUUGCCAAACAUUAAAAAAUGAAUGUCCAAACGAAACGUCCAAGUUGUUGAACUUUGAAAAAACGGUGUUGUCGUUUGUGGAGAAAGGAUACGAUUUGGGACUGAUAAGUUCCUCCAAACAAAUCAAAUUGACCGUCGAUUUCAACAAUACGGAAGAUGCGAAAUUUCAAUCGAUGCUUCAAAUUCUAAUUCAGGAAAUCGCCGCCCAAACUAAUACUGAUUCGGCAGGGCGAGUACCGGAACGUAGUUGUCGUAUUCCGACCAGAAAGCGUUCGCGGAAUCAACCGGACAACUGCGGUCCUGGUUGGAAUCUAGUUCGUCCAUUGGUACAGCGUCAGGGUGUCGUUACCCGAAGGAGAUCAGCUGCUCGAGAAAAGGCUGAGCAGAAAAUUAGGGAUGCUAGGUCUCGAUCUCGUUCCCAAUCUGAAUAACGGUCACGAGAAAAAUUUCAAUGUUAAGGAGCUAGUCGUUAUCUAAAUUAUUGAGUACUGUAUAGUAAAUUGCUAAUUACUAAUAAAAUAGUUAUUGAGCUC